CUAGGAAGAUGUAGUCUUGCUGCUCAAGGACAUAGAAUUCAUACAGGAGUUACUGAUGCGGACUUUAUAGGGGAAAUUUAAGUUGUGGUGUCUGCUUUCGUUCCCUGGAGUGCUGAGCCUGGGGAAGGCGUAGCACAACUUUUAGCUAUACCAUAUGGCACAAUAGGAAAAAGUGACACUAAGAGAACGAGAGGGCUUGGAGGUACAAACAAAUGAGACAGCAGCAUAUUCGCCAUUGUGAAGCCUCCAGAGCCUGUUGCUUUGAAAUGGAUGACAAACCUGUAUGCACAGAGCCAUGGCAGCUGACCAAAGAAAACCUGGAGGCUUUAGAAAACGUAGUUACUGAACAACACCUGAAUAAACAAUCCAGCGAAGAAACUGUAAGGCAGUUGAUCUGGUGGCGAGAUCUACUCGCAAAGAAUCGGGAACGAGGUAAUGUAAUAACCUGCGGGAGAGGAUUUGCUCGCGUUUCUGCAGAUCCACAUCAGCAACCGCUGUGGGUACCAUCCAGACAUGUAACGCCAUACUAGGAGCCAGAUGACAGAAAACAGACUUGCAGAGGAACCCGCCAAUCAGAGAUGGCGAGACUAACAUCGAGGGGGGGUACUGUUCCCACAAAGAGAAAGCGCCGAACGUCACACCGACGUGGGGUCGAAUUAAAGCUUUCACAAAAAGCAGAGGAAAACCUGAAGAAAGCAGGGCGGCUUAUGGUAAUGAUGAUGAUGGCCAUCACGAUUAAACUGAGUGUUUCUGGAGCUGGGGUAGAAGUAAAAGUUUCACACAUUGGGCAUAUA